rnacentral:rRNA from 1 species
UUCGUUAACGAACGAGACCUCGACCUGCUAAAUAGUUCGGCGAAUUCUUCGGGAUUCGUACGUGACUUCUUAGAGGGACUAUUGGUGGUUAGCCAAUGGAAGUUCGAGGCAAUAACAGGUCUGUGAUGCCCUUAGAUGUUCUGGGCCGCACGCGCGCUACACUGACAGGUUCAUCGAGCUUACAACCUUGACUGAGAGGUCUGGGUAAUCUUUUCAACGCCUGUCGUGCUGGGGAUAGAUUAUUGUAAUUAUUAAUCUUCAACGAGGAAUUCCUAGUAAACGCAAGUCAUCAGCUUGCAUUGAUUACGUCCCUGCCCUUUGUACACACCGCCCGUCGCUAAUACCGAUUGAAUGGUUA